rnacentral:tRNA from 2 species
GGAGAGGUGGCCGAGUCAGGUUGAAGGCGCUUCCCUGCUAAGGAAGUAACUGCCGCAAGGUGGUUCGUGGGUUCGAAUCCCACCCUCUCCG